rnacentral:lncRNA from 1 species
GGAGAUUUCUCAAAGAACUGAAAAUAGAACUACCAUCUGAUCCAGCAAUCCCAGUACUGGGUAUCUACCCAAAGGAAAAGAAAUCAUUAUAUCAAAAAGAUGCCUGCACUCAUAUGUUUAUAGCAGCACUGAUCACAAUAGCAAAGAUAUGGAAUCAACCUAAGCGCCAAUCAAUGGACAACUGGAUAAAGAAAAUGUGGUAUAAAAACACAAUGGAAUACAAUUCAGCCAGAGCAAAGAAUGAAAUCAUGUAUUUCACAACAACAUGGGUG